UUUCAGCUAUUCACCUUGAUCUGUAUUAGUUACACCUCUGUUGGAAUGUAUGGUUGACUAGACAAUUUUUAGCUUGAAACCUGCACAGUUUAGUGUACAUUUCAGGUGCUCUUGGCUGGAUGUAUUUUAAAAUAAUUUGAGUGAUACAAGAGGCAAGCUUGUUCCUUUUACAUUUAAAUAUAUGCUUCACAAGACAGUGAAGAAGUGAAUGAAUAUAUAAUUUUGGGAAGGAUUCACGUGCUACGAAAGGAAACCUUGUAUGGAUGAGAACUGACUUCAUAUGACUUCAUGUGAAUUAUAUGCCCUGAAUAAAGGCAUAGUCUUACUGGAAAAAUACUGUUAAAAUAAGUAUUGUUGAUAAAACUUUUACCUAGACAGAAAUCAACCAAGCUUCUAAGUGCCAUUUAAAGUUCGGCUCAUAAGACAUCUAUGUACUUCUGAAACUUUACCUUACAUUAUAAACCUUGCUUUGUAGGACAUAUUUAACUUUACAUGGAUAACACACCUUCUGUUAUUUCCUAACUUUCAAGUGCUUUGUUUCACAAUUUAAACAACAUUCUUUUCACGUAAUUGGGUUCAGGUUUUGUUUGUCUUUGGUAGGGUAAGAAGUAGUGUUUCUCUCUGUUUUGCGCACCAUGUAUGUAGAAAUAGCAUUUAUACAGUUAACUGCAGAACCAGGCAAUGAAUUUUCACACAUCUGUGAUCAGACCACCUGCUUCCUGUUCACCAAUAUAACCCUUUUGAAAGUUACUCUAACAUUUUACCCUCAGAGUACUUUUAAAUAGAUGGCUAUUUCAAAGUCCCUUUCUAGAGCAUAUCCCUUUUUAAUCUGUUCUGCUUAAAUUCGUAUCAAGUUAUCUAUCUAAGAGAGAGUAAGGGCAUAAGAAGCCCAGUUCUAGAUCAGUAACAGAUUUUCUGAGAACAAUAGUAUAAAAAACUUGAUAUAGUUCACUAACUAACACAGCCUAACAUGAAAUUUCACCACCUAAAGAAAGGGAAAAAAUCCUUGUUUCUUAAAAGGAUGCAGACCACCUAAAUUUCUUAGAGAUGAUAAUAAUAAAUAUAUGGAGUGAUCUCAAUAAUUUGGAAGAAAAUAUUUAUUCAUUGGAAAUCCUGAGCCCCUUUUGCAUCACGAACAUUAUCAUUUGGUAAAUAAGUGUUUACGUAUACAAAAUCACUAAGAAAGAGCUAUUGUGAGGGUAACUUCAUGUGUAAACAAAAACUAUAGUGAGUAGAAAAGUAAUACAGAUUUAUAAAAUAAACCAAUAUAACUUCACAGAGAAUUCAUCAAAUAUUAUUGUUUUUUUUUGUAAGCACGAUAAUUUUAAAUACUGCAUAUGAAGUA